GUCACGCCCGAAGUCAUUACCCCAACUUUUCGGAGAGGGGGAUGCCGAAGGCAGGACUGGUGACUGGGGUGAAGUCGUAACAAGGUAGCCGUACCGGAAGGUGUGGCUGGAUCACCUCCUUUUAGGGAGACCUCAUCCACUCAAACAUCGAAAACAUCAAGUGAUUAGAUACUGAGAUGGUCAUUCCUAGGUCGGUCGCGAAUAUUUGUUAAGCUUUCAAACUAUAGAUUUGGUUCGGAUAAUGGGCUAUUAGCUCAGGUGGUUAGAGCGCACCCCUGAUAAGGGUGAGGUCCCUGGUUCGAGUCCAGGAUGGCCCACCUGAAAUUAGUUAACAGUGAAUAGUAAACAGUGGUCAGUAAAAAACUGAUAACUGGUAACUGAUACCUGAUAACUGACUGAUGGGGGUUUAGCUCAGUUGGUAGAGCGCCUGCUUUGCAAGCAGGAUGUCAGCGGUUCGAGUCCGCUAAUCUCCACCUUGUGUAAAAAUCGCAGAAGAAAAUAUUGAUUGUCAAACAAGGCAAGAAAUAUAAUAAUCCUGUGGUUAAUAGCACAGUGUGAUAAGAUAAUAGACCGGAAAAGAUUCAGCAAUUGAUUGUGUGGACAAUCGAACUGCUGGGUGAUUAUCCAGCCAGAACCUUGAAAACUGCAUAGUAACGCGAAAAAAAGCAGGCAGUGAAAAAAGUCACAAGUCAAAAGCUAAAAGUGAAAAACUGGAAGCCGAGACAAAAGACAAAAAACUGCAUGAAAACACCAAUGUAAUUGUGGUCAAGCUAAUAAGGGCUUACGGUGGAUACCUAGGCACACAGAGG
rnacentral:misc_RNA from 1 species